rnacentral:rRNA from 1 species
GGAAUUGUUCGCAAUGGGCGCAAGCCUGACGACGCAACGCCGCGUGGAGGAUGAAGAUCUUCGGGUCGUAAACUCCUGUCGAAUGGGACGAAUAAAUUGCGGGUUAACAGCCCGUGAUUCUGACGGUACCGUUAAAGGAAACCCCGGCUAACUCCGUGCCAGCAGCCGCGGUAAUACGGGGGGGGUAAGCGUUGUUCGGAAUUACUGGGCGUAAAGGGCUCGUAGGCGGCCAACUAAGUCAUACGUGAAAUCCCUCAGCUUAACUGGGGAACUGCGUGUGAUACUGGAUGGCUUGGAUUCGGGAGAGGGAUGCGGAAUUCCAGGUGUAGCGGUGAAAUGCGUAGAUAUCUGGAGGAACACCGGUGGCGAAGGCGGCAUCCUGGACCGAUAUUGACGCUGAGGAGCGAAAACCAGGGGAGCAAA